rnacentral:rRNA from 2 species
CGUGCCUAAUACAUGCAAGUCGAGCGAAUCGAUGGGAGCUUGCUCCCUGAGAUUAGCGGCGGACGGGUGAGUAACACGUGGGCAACCUGCCUAUAAGACUGGGAUAACUUCGGGAAACCGGAGCUAAUACCGGAUACGUUCUUUUCUCGCAUGAGAGAAGAUGGAAAGACGGUUUACGCUGUCACUUAUAGAUGGGCCCGCGGCGCAUUAGCUAGUUGGUGAGGUAAUGGCUCACCAAGGCGACGAUGCGUAGCCGACCUGAGAGGGUGAUCGGCCACACUGGGACUGAGACACGGCCCAGACUCCUACGGGAGGCAGCAGUAGGGAAUCUUCCGCAAUGGACGAAAGUCUGACGGAGCAACGCCGCGUGAACGAAGAAGGCCUUCGGGUCGUAAAGUUCUGUUGUUAGGGAAGAAC